rnacentral:rRNA from 1 species
AGCGAACGCUGGCGGCAGGCCUAACACAUGCAAGUCGAACGGACCCUUCGGGGUUAGUGGCGGACGGGUGAGUAACACGUGGGGAACGUGCCUUUAGGUUCGGAAUAGCUCCUGGAAACGGGUGGUAAUGCCGAAUGUGCCCUUCGGGGAAAGAUUUAUCGCCUUUAGAGCGGCCCGCGUCUGAUUAGCUAGUUGGUGGGGUAAUGGCCCACCAAGGCUACGAUCAGUAGCUGGUCUGAGAGGAUGACCAGCCACAUUGGGACUGAGACACGGCCCAAACUCCUACGGGAGGCAGCAGUGGGGAAUCUUGCGCAAUGGGCGAAAGCCUGACGCAGCCAUGCCGCGUGUAUGAUGAAGGUCUUAGGAUUGUAAAAUACUUUCACCGGUGAAGAUAAUGACUGUAGCCGGAGAAGAAGCCCCGGCUAACUUCGUGCCAGCAGCCGCGGUAA